rnacentral:rRNA from 1 species
AGAGUUUGAUCAUGGCUCAGGAUGAACGCUGGCGGCGUGCUUAACACAUGCAAGUCGAACGAAGCAUUCCAACUCUCGGAGGAAGAAAUGACUGAGUGGCGGACGGGUGAGUAACGCGUGGGUAACCUGCCUUAUACAGGGGGAUAACAGUUAGAAAUGACUGCUAAUACCGCAUAACCCGCUAGUACCGCAUGGUACAGACGGAAAAGAUUUAUCGGUAUAAGAUGGACCCGCGUCUGAUUAGCUAGUUGGUGAGGUAAUGGCUCACCAAGGCGACGAUCAGUAGCCGGCUUGAGAGAGUGAACGGCCACAUUGGGACUGAGACACGGCCCAAACUCCUACGGGAGGCAGCAGUGGGGAAUAUUGCACAAUGGGGGAAACCCUGAUGCAGCAACGCCGCGUGAAGGAAGAAGUAUUUCGGUAUGUAAACUUCUAUCAGCAGGAAAGAAAAUGACGGUACCUGACUAAGAAGCCCCGGCUAACUACGUGCCAGCCGCAGC